rnacentral:rRNA from 1 species
UACGUAGGUGGCAAGCGUUGUCCGGAAUUAUUGGGCGUAAAGCGCGCGCAGGUGGUUCUUUAAGUCUGAUGUGAAAGCCCACGGCUCAACCGUGGAGGGUCAUUGGAAACUGGGGAACUUGAGUGCAGAAGAGGAAAGUGGAAUUCCAAGUGUAGCGGUGAAAUGCGUAGAGAUUUGGAGGAACACCAGUGGCGAAGGCGACUUUCUGGUCUGUAACUGACACUGAGGCGCGAAAGCGUGGGAGCAACAGG